rnacentral:lncRNA from 1 species
AAUAAAUUCAACCUUAUAGAACUCAAGUAAGUUAAAAAUCAUCUUCCAUUUUUGCCUAUUAAGUCAUGUUUAAAGUAUGCAAUCCAUAAUAAUGAUGGAGGAAGAGUAUCAUCGAUUAGUGUUGCUGGUUCAAACUGGAAUGGUGGGAAUUUGGCAGGAGAAUGAUGGUAACAGAGAGAGAUCAAAAGAAAAACGAGCACAAACUGAUGCUAACAGACAUCUCUGGGAGCCUAUUCAAAAAAAGAAAAAAAUACUAUAUAUAUAAUGCUGCUCAGCAUAUCACAUCACAGAAUUGAAGAAGUGGAAAACCGAAGUGUCCAACAAUAAGUAAGUAUUUUCAGAAAGUGAAAAUCACCCCUACCAGCCGACAGUUAGAACUAGGCUAUCAUAAACAGCAUACAUGAAACAUCAACACUCAUCGGGGCGACAUGGCGGUGACAGAGUCUGAGACGACAGAGGCAAGGACACUCAGCAACCACAGAACAUAACUAAAUAACCCCCUUUGUACUAGUUAUUUACCUCUGACAUCCAGCGUUGUUUCGAUUUCCUGACCUCCUAGAAAGAAUCGCCAACGUAGCCAAUUCCUGAAUUGCCACUGAAUUCUGACCGUAUCCAAUUCAGAAAUGGCCUACCUCUUCUUUAAGCCCUGCUUCGAAUCACCCCAAAGAAGCCCGCAUCCUUUAAUAGACCUUUGCCAAAAUUGUCUGCUGAGACUUCUACAGUUCCUCUGGAGACAACUCUCCCUUACCGUGAUGAACUCUAGAACUCUUAUAUAUCAACUAGACUUAGUGUCAGACAAUGUUUUCCAAAAGACAGUGGAAGAAUUGAAGGUGAUACCCAAAUGAACAGAUGAUACACGAACACUAAGGUCCUAUUUAAACAGUGGCAAACAAAAUGGAACUGGACUUUCUACUCUUAGUUCAGCAGGUAUGAUAAACUGAUG